CCUGUGUUACAAAACUUUCUUACAUUGUGAAAGCAAUGAAUGAAGUUCAGCAGGACUCCUGUAAGAAUGCCGAUUCAUCCCACAUCGCGUUGGUCAAACAGGACUUCGACCUUGUCGCCUCCCUCUCUCCCUCACCCGCCCAGGUGAACGCCAAGAAGACAGAAAAGAAGAUCUGUCCUCCUCUCUGAAAUCCAAGUGCUCAAAGCAGGGCUGAUGGGGAGCAGGUGAUCAAUAAACACUGUUGAAGCGA